CGGGAUGUAGCGCAGUUUGGUAGCGCACUUGAUUUGGGAUCAAGUAGUCACAGGUUCGAAUCCUGUCAUCCCGA
rnacentral:tRNA from 1 species